CCUACGGGUGGCAGCAGUGAGGAAUAUUGGUCAAUGGGCGAGAGCCUGAACCAGCCAAGUCGCGUGAGGGAGUACUGCCCUAUGGGUUGUAAACCUCUUUUGUCGGGGAGCAAAAGCCGGACCUUUCCGGCUGUUAGAGUUCCCGCAGAAAAAGCAUCGGCUAACUCCGUGCCAGCAGCCGCGGUUAUACGGAGGAUCCGGGCGUUAUCCGGAUUUUUUGGGUUUAAAGGGUGCGUAGGCUGUGAGGUAAGUCAGCGGUGAAAUGCCCCCGCUCAACGGGGUGAAGUGCCAUUGAUACUGCGGUGCUGGAGUGCGGAGGCGGUGGGAGGAAUGUGUGGUGUAGCGGUGAAAUGCAUAGAUAUCACGCAGAACACCGAUUGCGAAGGCAUCUCACGGAUCCGCGAUUGACGCUGAUGCACGAAGGCGUGGGUAUCAAACAGGAUUAGAUACCCUAGUAGUC
rnacentral:rRNA from 1 species